CUUUCAGGGUAAUUUCAGAGGCCUUCUGCCUCCAGGCCAAAAGGCAAUUACUGGUUCCCCCAUCUCCUAUCAAAGCCACAACAAAAUCUGGAGAAAAGCCCCACAAAGGCAGCAUGGUAAUCCCUUCCCCUUCCAGAGGCAGCACUACGUGGUAUGGAGCUGUCACCGGCCAGGCAGAAAGGUCUGCUGCCACUGUGCCUUGAGGACAACAGGCUAUGCCUUUCCACUGGGUAAAUCUCAUCGGGGCAGAAGCAGCAAAGGAAGAGCUGGGAUGGUUCCAGAUAGCAGUAAAUUUGUUGGAAAAUGAGGCUUUUGGAAGUGCGUGUGUGAAGUGGAGAGCAGGAAAUCCAGUUUGCAUCUGACAAAUGCAGAUUUGCCCCACAUCUCCAGAAAGGAGGGCAGCCUCCAUUGGCUGAACGGUUCCAGUCUGAUGCGCUCUGUGCUGAGCUUCCUGGCUUCUUUUCUAUUUUUUGCCUAUAAAUCAGCCCACAAUCGAGAAGGGAAAACAAGAAGAUAAACAAUCUAAAGAUGCAAAACAAAUAAUUCCAGGUCAAAAACUAUCUGGUUGAUUGAAAUGUUCUGACAAAACAAACAAACAAACAAACAAAAACGAUCCCCUUCUCUAUACUGUUCUUUCCCCCUUAAUUUUCCUGCUGGCCCUUAAAACAAAAAUAAAAUGAUCAGACUGG
ensembl:lncRNA